rnacentral:rRNA from 1 species
CAGCAGCAGCCACGGUAAUACAGAGGGUGCGAGCGUUAAUCGGAUUUACUGGGCGUAAAGCGUGCGUAGGCGGCUUCUUAAGUCGGAUGUGAAAUCCCUGAGCUUAACUUAGGAAUUGCAUUCGAUACUGGGAAGCUAGAGUAUGGGAGAGGAUGGUAGAAUUCCAGGUGUAGCGGUGAAAUGCGUAGAGAUCUGGAGGAAUACCGAUGGCGAAGGCAGCCAUCUGGUCUAAUACUGACGCUGAGGUACGAAAGCAUGGGGAGCAAACAGGAUUAGAUACCCGCGUAGUCCCUGUCUCUUAUAC